rnacentral:misc_RNA from 1 species
UUACCGGCCUGACGUUGGCGACAUUAUCCCGACGUUCGACAUCGGUCCGGUCGGUCGGUCGGCAGUGACGAUUGUUUACACGAUGGCGUCCGGCGGUGAAAACGCGACCGAGGAACGGACGGAGACGUCAACGCCGGUUCAACCCGUUGCCAAUGCCGUAUCCGAGACAACCCACAAAGUGAUAGGGAUGGAUAAGGAUGGCGAAUUGUCUGGUGUACCAGCAAAGAAACCUCGUGUCGAAGUGCAAUCUCUUCCAACCAGACAGUAUUUAGAUCAGACCGUAGUACCGAUAUUGCUGCAAGCAUUGUCAUGUCUGGCCAAAGAGAGACCUGCCGAUCCUAUAAGUUUUCUCGCCGGUUAUUUAUUGAGAAACAAGAGUCAAUACGACAGCGGCGGUUCGCCGCCGACUAGUCAAUGAAUGCUUCCUCAUCUGUGCGUGCCCGUUUUAUGGAAAUUUGAUGAACAUUUCUUCGGAUGACAAUGAUGCAUAGAUGUACGAAAUAUCUGGAUGGAGCAUAGUGCUGUGGGGUUGAAGUUCAAGGGGAAAGAAUAGUAAUGUAAAAUCAUCAAGAUGACAACGACUGAGAGUGGAAAGAGCGGGGCGCACUAUAUUACACUACUUGACUUAUCUACAAUGCCGUUGUGUUUAAUGUUGUUCAGUUAAGCGUGUCUUGUUUAAUCACAUUGCGAUUGAUCACAGCCACUUAUAGCGAUCAAUACUUGAAGUAUUUCCACUGUGUUAUAUUGAACUCUAACCAGAAAGUUUUAUGUUAAAUUAUUUAAUUAGCGAUGGACACUCUGUGUCUCAGUUAGGCUGUAGAUCAAUCAGUUAUGAACAAUGUAUUAUGCUUCCUAUGAAUGCUUCGCCAAAACUGAAUCACUACGAUUUUAGAUGAAUUUGCGACUGCAUUGUAGACUACGUUUUACACAAACACGGCGCUACGUGUCUCUGACAGAACAAUCAAGAUCGAUUUUUUCCACAAUCUCUCAAACUUCAUUCUCCUGGCCUAAAAGGGUAUUUUACGCUCCGUCUAGGUAUUUCGUACGUCCAUGUUUUAGCGAGAUAAAAUGGUGUUGUUCUGAGAAAUGUAAUGUUAAUUAGUCUUGAAUUAAAAACAAUUUUUAACAUUGAAA